ACUCAAAGGAAUUGACGGGGGCCCGCACAAGCGGUGGAGUAUGUGGUUUAAUUCGAUGCAACGCGAAGAACCUUACCUGCUCUUGACAUGGUAGGAAUCUCUCAGAGAUGAGAGAGUGCCGCAAGGAACCUACACACAGGUGCUGCAUGGCUGUCGUCAGCUCGUGUCGUGAGAUGUUGGGUUAAGUCCCGCAACGAGCGCAACCCUUGUUCUUAGUUACCAACACGUUAUGGUGGGGACUCUAAGAAGACUGCUGGUGGUAAGCCAGAGGAAGGAGGGGAUGACGUCAAGUCAUCAUGGCCCUUACGAGCAGGGCUACACACGUACUACAAUGGUCGGUACAAAGGGAUGCCAAAUCGCAAGAUGGAGCAAAUCUCAUAAAGCCGAUCGUAGUCCGGAUUGCAGUCUGCAACUCGACUGCAUGAAGCCGGAAUCGCUAGUAAUCGCGGAUCAGAAUGCCGCGGUGAAUACGUUCCCGGGCCUUGUACACACCGCCCGU
rnacentral:rRNA from 1 species